rnacentral:rRNA from 1 species
CCUACGGGAGGCAGCAGUGGGGAAUAUUGCACAAUGGGGGAAACCCUGAUGCAGCGACGCCGCGUGAGUGAAGAAGUAUCUCGGUACGUAAAGCUCUAUCAGUAGGGAAGAAAAUGACGGUACCUGACUAAGAAGCUCCGGCUAACUACGUGCCAGCAGCCGCGGUAAUACGUAGGGGGCAAGCGUUAUCCGGAUUUACUGGGUGUAAAGGGAGCGUAGACGGGAGCACAAGUCUGGAGUGAAAUCCCGGGGCUUAAACCCGGAACUGCAUUGGAUACUGUGCGGCUGGAGUACAGGAGGGGUAGGCGGAAUUCCUAGUGUAGCGGUGAAAUGCGUAGAUAUUAGGAGGAACACCGGUGGCGAAGGCAGCUUACUGGACUGUAACUGACGUUGAGGCUCGAAAGCGUGGGGAGCAAACAGGAUUAGAUACCCCUGUAGUC